AGACGGAAGCAGGAGAGAAUUAGGAUUUUUUUUGGGCAAGGAUAACGGGAGGACAAGAUGUAAUUACCAGAGGAGUUAGACUUAAUAAGGCUUACAAAAUUAGGAUUUCAGUUGUUGUGCUCAGCGAUUGAGUUACUGUUGCUUCUGAACUAAGUUCGUGUUGUGUUUCCCUUAACGUGGCGGCUCGUCUGGGUUCAAGAGAGAAAGGGAUGGCGGCAAAGCUUGGAUUUGCUUGAGGUUGCUGCAGUUUGACUGCCUCCGGGAUGAUGGAUGAAGAAGACCCUGAGGGCGGGAACCUUAAGUCAGCUUAAGGAACUCUUCCAGACCUCUGAGAGAAGAUCUGAAGCAAGUCAGGCACACUGGUACCUCACCCUCUUAUGGUGCUUCAGAGUGUAGGUCUAAGGCUAGAAUCACCUGGCAGAAAUCCCAUUCUGAUGGAUCAGCUGAAGAGCUUGGCCAAGUCGGGGCCAUUUCCUGAUAUAUCUGUCUGCUCACUGGUGUGAUUUCUCCAAGGCUCAGCCAAGAGAUGCUAUUAAAACCCAAACCCU
ensembl:lincRNA Gm28167 predicted gene 28167